UGGGUGGAUCAGUGGCGAACGGGUGAGUAACACGUGAGCAACCUGCCCCUGACUCUGGGAUAAGCGCUGGAAACGGCGUCUAAUACUGGAUAUGUGACGUGACCGCAUGGUCUGCGUCUGGAAAGAAUUUCGGUUGGGGAUGGGCUCGCGGCCUAUCAGCUUGUUGGUGAGGUAAUGGCUCACCAAGGCGUCGACGGGUAGCCGGCCUGAGAGGGUGACCGGCCACACUGGGACUGAGACACGGCCCAGACUCCUACGGGAGGCAGCAGUGGGGAAUAUUGCACAAUGGGCGCAAGCCUGAUGCAGCAACGCCGCGUGAGGGAUGACGGCCUUCGGGUUGUAAACCUCUUUUAGCAGGGAAGAAGCGAAAGUGACGGUACCUGCAGAAAAAGCGCCGGCUAACUACGUGCCAGCAGCCGCGGUAAUACGUAGGGCGCAAGCGUUAUCCGGAAUUAUUGGGCGUAAAGAGCUCGUAGGCGGUUUGUCGCGUCUGCUGUGAAAUCCCGAGGCUCAACCUCGGGCCUGCAGUGGGUACGGGCAGACUAGAGUGCGGUAGGGGAGAUUGGAAUUCCUGGUGUAGCGGUGGAAUGCGCAGAUAUCAGGAGGAACACCGAUGGCGAAGGCAGAUCUCUGGGCCGUAACUGACGCUGAGGAGCGAAAGGGUGGGGAGCAAACAGGCUUAGAUACCCUGGUAGUCCACCCCGUAAACGUUGGGAACUAGUUGUGGGGUCCA
rnacentral:rRNA from 1 species